AUCACCCCCGGGCAAACAAUGUGAGCCCGGGGGAACAUUAUCUGUUCUUAUCAGCCUAAUAUCUGAUACGCUCCCCAUUGGGGGGCCAGUAUAUUAAUCUGAUUUUUGGAAGGUGGUGGAGUGUCAGGGGCUUGCUCCGGCUCCGCCGCGGGUCAACCCUGCAUUGCAGUACCGUAGGGAGCAGGCCCACUAGGA
rnacentral:snRNA from 1 species